AUGAUUUUGGGGUUUUGCUCUCUCCCUGUGUGCUACACAUUUCUGCUCUCCCCAGUAGCGGCGGUGCAUCAAGGUGCAAGGCAGCAGCGACAUGUUCAUAGUACGCUAAAGGAUGAACUGCUACUUUUCCUGAUGCUAGCUCCUUGCUGCAGAUAUACCAGCCUGCUUACAGCUCCCAAGAUAUCCUCUUGGUCAAGGCAAUUGCACAUGAUGAAGCCACUCAUUUUAGUGGUAUACCACACUCUGAGCAAUAGGACCAAAAACAGGAAGAUAAAAUUUCACAAUUCGAUACUUCAUAUUUUCCAGAAGUACGGCCACCUUCUGCACAGUGCCCUUGCAUUGGGGUUCUUAUCAAAUAAGUUUCUUUCCGUAGAAUUUGUUCAGGAUAUGCAUUGUGCUUAA
rnacentral:rRNA from 1 species